CUGAAUUUAGCCUGACUAGUUUUACCAAAAUUGCAGGCCUUGCUUGGAGUUCCCGAGAGCCAUGGAUUUUUGCAUCAUUAUCCUAUGAUGGGAGGGUGGUCGUGGAAUCAAUAAAGCCCCAUCUUUCCAAAAAAUGAAGUCAGAUCAUUUACUUGAUAGUAUUUUUUCCCCCUUCACAAGCUUAUUACUCGGAAUACCUUCUACCCUCAUAUGAAAUAUUCUCAUUCUCUAUUGAGGGUUUUCAUAAUGUUUCGGGAUGUAGUUGAGGCUCAUGUGCCAUUUAGGCAUGGUACAUUGACUUGUGCAUGGACGACCUUGAAUAUUGUAUUCAAAUAUGAGCAUGUGGUGCUUGUACCUUUGUAUAGAGGGAAAUUAAGUAUUGGGAUUGUUUGGUCUUCAGACCACACAUUGCUAAAGGAGACCAAUUAUAUUUGAGUGAUUCUUUCAUUUUAAUGAUUUUGAGUUUGGAAAGAAAAAGCGUCAUUGAUCUGCAUUUGACCAAAUCACCAAGUUGAACAUGAAUGUCUUUUCCAUAUUCAUAAAUGGACGAAUUAAUUAAUGGUU